AUUGAACGCUGGCGGCAGGCCUAACACAUGCAAGUCGAACGGAAAAAGGGAGCUUGCUCCUGGAUUCCGCGGCGGACGGGGGAGUGAUGCCUAGGAAUCUGCCUGGUAGUGGUGGAUGACGUCCGGAAACGGGCGCUAAUACUACAUACGUCCAGCGGCUGAAGGUGGGGGAUCUUCGGACCUCACGCUCUCAGAUGAGCCUAGGUCGGAUUAGCUAGUUGGUGGGGUAAAGGCCUACCAAGGCGACGAUCCGUAACUGGUCUGAGAGGAUGAUCAGUCACACUGGAACUGAGACACGGUCCAGACUCCUACGGGAGGCAGCAGUGGGGAAUAGGGGACAAUGGGCGAAAGCAUGAUCCAGCCAGGCCGAGUGUGUGAAGAAGGCCUUCGGAGUGUAAAGCACGUUAAGUGGGGAGGAAGGGCAGUAAGUUAAUACCUUGCGGUAGUGACGGUACCAGCAGAAGAAGCACCGGCUAACUUCGUG
rnacentral:rRNA from 1 species